rnacentral:rRNA from 1 species
CAUCGCCUCUUGCAAAACUAAAGAAUAAGAGGUCCCGCCUGCCCUGUGACAAUACGUUUAACGGCCGCGGUAUUUUGACCGUGCGAAGGUAGCGCAAUCACUUGUCUCUUAAAUGGAGACCUGUAUGAAUGGCACAACGAGGGCUUAACUGUCUCCUUUCCCUAGUCAAUGAAAUUGAUCUUCCCGUGCAGAAGCGGGAAUUAAUACAUAAGACGAGAAGACCCUAUGGAGCUUUAGAUACUAAAACAGCCCAUGUUAAAGACCCCAUAAUAAAGGAGCAAACUAAAUGGCCCCUGUCCUAAUAUCUUUGGUUGGGGCGACCGCGGGGAAAUAUUAAACCCCCAUGUGGAAUGGGAGCACCUCCCCCAGAGCCAAGAGCAACAGCUCUAAGCAACAGAACAUCUGACCUACAAGAUCCGGCAAAGCCGAUCAACGGACCGAGUUACCCUAGGGAUAACAGCGCAAUCCCCUUCUAGAGCCCAUAUCGACAAGGGGGUUUACGACCUCGAUGUUGGAUCAGGACAUCCUAAUGGUGCAGCCGCUAUUAAGGGUUCGUUUGUUCAACGAUUAAAGUCCUACGUGA